UUUUUCAGCACACAAAAGCCCUAAAUCUCUAUAGCAGUUGUACAAAUCACAAUUCUCUUGAAAAAGUGUGUGAAUACUCUUAGUUUUCAUCCGAUCUUUCCAAAAAUAGGCAAAGCACGAGUUUUAGGUCAUCAUGUUCUAUCUUCGUCUGUGAGUUGAUUUUCAUCUGAUCGAUUCUUAGCUUCUUGUUGUUUCUGGAGAAUUGAUGGAUAGUACACUUUUGGGAUUUUUGUAGAUUGAAUUUACAAGUCAAAGAUGCACAAGUUCAUUAUUAUUUUGCGAAGAUCAUUAUGUAAAACUUAACAUACUCUAGCUUGGGAUGUUAGUUGAUUAAGUAUUUCACUGAGCAAGUAUUGAAACUA